rnacentral:rRNA from 1 species
GAUGAACGCUGACAGAAUGCUUAACACAUGCAAGUCAUUGGCGAAGCUGCGCUUGCGCAGUCUAGCCAAGGCGGACGGGUGAGUAACGCGUAAGGAACUUGCCCUGCAGACAGGGAUAACAGACGGAAACGACUGAUAACACCUGGUAUUGUCAGGCUGGCGCAUGCCGGCCUGAUGAAAGGAGACGCUGCAGGAGAGCCUUGCGUCCUAUUAGCUAGUUGGUGGGGUAACGGCCCACCAAGGCGAUGAUAGGUAGCCGGCCUGAGAGGGUGAACGGCCACAAGGGGACUGAGAUACGGCCCUUACUCCUACGGAAGGCAGCAGUGGGGAAUAUUGGACAAUGGGGGCAACCCUGAUCCAGCAAUUCUGUGUGCACGAAGAAGGUUUUCGGAUUGUAAAGUGCUUUCAGCAGGGAAGAAGAAAGUGACGGUACCUGCAGAAGAAGCGACGGCUAAAUACGUG